rnacentral:rRNA from 1 species
GAAGGCGGCCAGAGCGGCAGGGACACACCCGUACCCAUCCCGAACACGGACGUUAAGCCUGUCUGCGUAUCGGCCAGUACUGGAGUGCGCGAGCCUCUGGGAGACCCGAUUCGCCGCCUCACCAUUCAUACUUCAUUUCAUUCACUCGGCGAGCGACGGCCAUCCGUCCACUCGUCGC